AUUUCAAUAAGCGGAGGAAAAGAUACUAACAAGGUUUCCCCUAGUAACUGCGAGUGAAGCGGGAAAAGCUCAAAUUUAAAAUCUGGCGGUCCUUGGCCGUCCGAGUUGUAAUUUAGAGAAGGGUAUUGCGCGCUGUUCCGUGCACAAGUCUCCAGGAAUGGAGCUUCAUAGAGGGUGAGAAUCCGGUAUUUGGCACGGAUACCGCAGGGCUUGUGUGUUGCGCUCUCGAAGAGUCGAGUUGUUUGUGAAUUCAGCUCAAAAUGGGUGGUGAUCUCCAUCUAAACAUAAAUAUUUCUGAUAGUCCGAUCGCGGAACAAGUUCCGUGUGGGAAUGUUGAAAAGCACUUUGGAAAGAGAUGUGAGUCACUACGCUGAAAUUGUUGAAAGGGAAACGCUUGAAGUCAGUUGCGUCGGCCGAGACUCAACCUCGCCCUCGGCUUGGUGUACUUCUCGGCUGACGGGUCAGCAUCAAUUUCGCUCCUCAGGAUAAUGGCGAGGGAAAGGUGCGCACCUUUGCGGUGUGUUAUAGUCUCUCGUCGCAUGCAAGGGUUGGGAUUGAUGGAUACUACAGCACGCGCCUUUGGGUGUCGGGGCUUUGCCUCGCGAUACGUGCUUAUGGAUGUUGGCGUAAUGGCUUUAAACGA
rnacentral:rRNA from 1 species